AGACCCGUUAUGUCCGUCAAGAUAUUAAGAUAAGUAAUAUAUUGGCAUGGCACUGAAAGCAAAGGAAAGAGAUUACAUAGCUGCAGAACAUGGGAUUGCACUUAAAAACAAC